CCGAAAACUGACAGACAUUUCUGUAGUAUUUUAAUAGCUUAGUGUUUCUAGUGCUGUGCUGACUGACAUUUGCUGUGGUUAAUCCACAGCUUUGGGGGGUUCGGAAGAUUAAAUACGAGACAAAUACCGUAAACAUCCAGAGAGCCUCUGCCCCUGCCUGGUGCCAGGCCCAACAGAUGCAGCUUCAGACUCAGCAGCCCUGUCUCCCCAUCUCCAUACCCCUGAACCAGCCCUACUCCCAACUGAAGAAGGAGGUGAGCAGCAUUGUAUUGAAUGACAUGUCAGUUGACAUAAUUGCAGGGACUGCAAUGCAUUGAGGACAGGAAUGUGAUUCUCCAGUCAGGAAAAGUCUCCCUUGACACAGAGGCAGCCAAUAUCAGAGCCUUAAAGGAAGAGAUGCAGGCUCUUAGAGAUGGAUGGGAGUCUCUCCUGUCUGAGGCAACACUGAUUGCUAUGCAAAUGGAUGUUGCACCUCAAUUUAGCAAGGAACACAGCCGCCAGAGGAAAGGAAAGAGAUUCCAUGAGACCUCUUAAGAGGAGACAGCUCAGGACAGUGAUGCAACGGUGUUUUGGAACACAGUGUUUUUUACUGUUAUGGACAACAUGAUAAGUGAUUAGGACACUAGGUUCCACGCCACUGGAAAAAUUGUAGAAUCCUUUUCUGCUGUUCUGAAAGUUGGGCAGAUUAGUGAGGAUAAAGUCUCUUCUGUGUGCCAACCACUGGUCAUGAAGUAUUCCAGAGAUCUUACACUUGAGUUUCAAAAUAAAGUAAGACACCUGAACACUGUAUAUGCUGCCAUUUUCCCCCCUAACUUGUCCCCUCUUGGUCUUCUGAAUGCAGUUUGUAAGAUGUAGCUGCAAAGCAUUUUGGAGAAGUGUGCAUUGCUUUCCGUAUAUUUUGCACACUGCCUGUGACUGUUGCUGGUGGCGAGAGAGCUUUCAGUAAGCUAAAACUGAUUUUAAAAAACGAUUUCAGGUCCACUAUCUGUCCCGGGACAGACUUUGCAGUCUUGCCAUGCUUUCCAUUGAAAGUCAGAUAGCUAGAAAGCUGAACUUCAAAGACUUAAUCAGUGACUUUGCUAGCAAGAAGGCUGGGCGCUGGGCUCUUGGUGAGUAAAGCAGAGCAAGGGCCAGUGAUAACUGUUCAAUGGCAUGGCUAUGGAUAUUGGAUCACUACACACAUGAUGCCCACAGGCUGAGAACAGACUGAGAACAAGAUAUAUCUCAAAGUAAUGGCUGGAUUGUCAUAAAAUGUGUUGUGCACAAUCAAGCCCCCAAGUGGAAGAAACCUAUUGAUUUGGUGACCUCUUGACCUUUCCUCUAGCGCCACCAUCAGGCCUUUCCAUUUCCAUUUUCAUUUCCAUUUCCACUGUACAGCUGCUUCUUUUUUUAGUUGGUCUGUAUACUUAGUUCAAAAAUCUGCUUCGGAUUUUAUUCUGUUUGUUAUAUCAUUCUAUAGAUGAUAAUGUUAAUUUAUUUUAAUUGAAGAGGUUAAUGUAUAUUUAAGUUGUAUUUAUUUUAAGUUAUUCAUUAAUGUUAAGAGAAUUUUCCGUUCAAGAACUUUUCCUUUAAAAUUACAUUUAGACUGUAAAAGAUGGCUUUUAGCACAUUUCUUAUAGAGGGUAUCAGGCUUGCAUCAAAUAGUGAAUUCCACUGUAUGCAUAAUGUUGCAUGCAUGUCUGCAGUAUUAUAUUUUCACAGCUCACUCUCAGUAAAUAUAGUACAGUAAAUAUUGGACUACAAGAGAGUUGCAAGCCUGCAAAGGUAGAGUUAUUUAAAGCCUUGAAUGGGUCGAUUGGCUUCUGGAGGUGUGUGGUUACAGCAAUUGCGCAGGGUUGAUGUGGCCUGUGGUGGUGGGUCGCAAUGUGAUAUCUUUCAUGGGGCCCAAAAUCCCUGGCGCGCCCCUGCCUACAUGUACAUAUUACCUCAACUGACCUGUGCCCCAGCACGUUGACUCUGUACCGGUACCCCCUGUAUAUAGCCUUGCUAUUGUUACUUUACAGUUGCGGUUUAAUUAUUUGUCACCUUUAUUUUAAAAUGUUUACCUAUCUAUUUUUUACUUAACACUUUUUUUCUUAAAACUUCUUAAAGCAUUGUUGCUUGUAAGUAACAAUUUCACUGUAAGGUAUUCUGCGCAUGUGACAAAUACAAUUUGAUUUGAAAAACAAGAUUCUCUGGUCUGAUGAAACCAAGAUUGAAAUCUUUGGCCUGAAUGCCAAGCGUCACGUCUGGAGCAAACCUGGCACCGUCGCUACAGUGAAGCAUGGUGGAGGCAGCAUCAUGUUAUGGGGAUGUUUUUCAGCGGCAGGGACUGGGAGACUAGUAAGGAUCGGGGUAAAGAUGAACGGAGCAAAAUACAGAGAGAUCCUUGAUGAAAACCUGCUCCAGAGUACUUAGGACCUCAGACUGGGGUGAAGGUUCACCUUCCAACAGGAUAAUGACCCUAAGCACACAGCCAAGACAAUGCAGGAGUGGCUUCGGGACAAGUCUCUGGAUGUCCUUGAGUGGCCCAGCCAGAGCCCAGAAUUGAACCCAAUCUAACUUCUUUAGAGAGACCUGAAAAAAGCUGUGACGCAAAGCUCCCCAUCCAACCUGACAGAGCUUGAGAGGAUCUGCAGAGAAGAAUGGGGGAAACUCUUCAAAUACAAGUGUGUCAAGCUUGUAGCAUCACACCCAAGAAGACUUGAGGUUGUAAUCUCUGCCAAAUGUGCUUCAACAAAGUACAGAGUAAUGGGUCUGAAUACUUACAGUUGAAGUCGGAAGUUUACAUACACCUUAGCCAAAUAAGUUUUUCACAGUUUUUCACUGUCUUAGGUCAGUUAGGAUCACCACUUCAUUUUAAUAAUGUGAAAAGUCAGAAUACUGGUAGAGUGAUUUAUUUCAGCUUUUAUUUCUUUCAUCACAUUCCCAGUAGGUCAGAAGUUUACAUACACUCAAUUAGUAUUUGGUAGCAUUGCCUUUAAAUUGUUGAACUUGGGACAAAUGUUUUGGGUAGCCUUCCCACAAUAAGUUGGGUGAAUUUUGGCCCAUUCCUCCUGACAAAGCUGGUGUAACUGAAUCAGGUUUGUAGGCCUCCUUGCUCGCACAUGCUUUUUCAGUUCUGCCCAAAAAUGUUCUAUAGGAUUGAGGUCAGGGCAUUGUGAUGGCCACUCCAAUACCUUGACUUUGUUGUCCUCUUGUCAUUUUGCAACAACUUUGGAAGUAUCUAUUGGGGUCAUUGUCCAUUUGGAAGACCCAUUUGUGACCAAGCUUUAACUUCCUGACUGAUGUCUUGAGAUGUUGCUUCAAUAUAUCCCCAUAAUUUUCCUCCCUCAUGAUGCCAUCUAUUUUGUGAAGAGCACCAGUCCCUCCUGCAGCAAAGAACCCCUACAACAUGGUUCUGCCGCCACCGUGCUUCGCAGUUGGGAUGGUGUUCUUCAGCUUGCAAGCCUCCCCCUUUUUCCUCCAAACAUAACGAUGGUCAUUAUGGCCAAACAAUUCUAUUUUUGUUUCAUCAGACCAGAUGACAUUUCUCCAAAAUGUACAGUCUUUGUCCCCAUGUGCAGUUGCAAACCGUAGUCUGGCUUUUUUUAUGGUGGUUUUGGAGCAGUGGCUUCUUCCUUGCUGAGUGGCCAUUCAGGUUAUGUCUACAUAGGACUCGUUUUACUUUGGAUAUAGAUACUUUUGUACCUGUUUCAUCCAGCAUCUUCCUUUGCUGUUGUUCUGGGACGGAUUUGCACUUUUCGCACCAAAGUACGUUCAUCUCGGGGCCUCCCGAGUGGUGCAGUGGUUUAUUGUGCCACCAGAGACUCUGGGUUCGCGCCCAGGCUCUGUCGCAGCUGGCCGCGACUGGGAGGUCCGUGGGGCGACGCACAAUUGGCCUAGCGUCGUCCGGGUUAGGGAGGGUUUGGCCGGUAGGGAUAUCCAUGUCUCAUCGCGCUCUAGUGACUCCUGUGGCGGGCCGGGCGCAGUGCUCGCUAACCAGGUUUCCAGGUGCACGGUGUUUCCUCCGACACAUUGGCGCGGCUGGCUUCCGGGUUGGAUGCGCGCUUAGCAGUGCGGCUUGGUUGGGUUGUGUUUCGGAGGACGCAUGGCUUUCGACCUUCGUCUCUCCUGAGCCCGUACGAGAGUUGUAGCGAUGAGACAAGAUAGUAACUUCUAACAAUUGGAUACCACGAAAUUGGGGAGAAAAGGGGGUAAAAAAAAUAAAAAAUAAAAAGUAAGACAGAACUCGUAUCCUUCCUGAGGGGUAUGACGGCUGCGGCUGCGUACUAUUGUUUGUAUAGAUGAAAGUGGUACCUUCAGGCUUUUGGAAGUUGCUCCCAAGGAUGGACCAGACUUGUGGAGGUCUACAAUUUUUUUCUGAGGUCUUGGCUGAUUUCUUUUGAUUUCCCCAAACCGACUUGCCAAAACUAUUGUUUGUUAAUUAACAAGUGGUUGAAAAACGAGUUUUAAUCCAACCUAAGUGUAUGUAAAUUUCUGACUUCAACUGUAUGUAAAUUUCUGACAACAACUGUAUGUAAAUGUGAUAUUUCCGUUUUUUAUUUUUAAUAAAUUAUCAACAAAUUCUAAAAA